ACUAUAUUCAUUUUUCGUUUUUAGCCAUUGAGUUCCAUUCAUACCCAUUCAUUGAGGACGCGCUCAUGGGCGCCCUCUGGCGUUUUGAAAUCAUUUUUUCGACGUAAUGGGAGGAAUAUGAAAUGGACAGGCUCCUCAUAAACAGGCUCUGGUGUAAACGCCUUGACAUUCGGAAGUACCGAAAAUCCACGAGCAUACUAAAUUCACCCGGCUGCCAGUGUGUAGUGUUUAAAGGACACGCAUAUCACCACCUCUGUCUGUUCUUUCCGUCAGACCAUCUCGACAAAAGUUCCUCUUUAGUGAUCAGCAAGUUACCUUCUAUCCAGCUCCAUGAUGCUUGGCUGUGUCAUAGGUAUGGAAUCUAUGACCUCCAUUCCGGGCCAUAAUGAUGCUUGUGUAUCUACCACGAUUAAUUUUUCCAGUACACGAAAGAUAUCCGACUAUACUAUUCCCGCCAAAUUCUCCAGUACUGCGUCCCGUCAUUCGACGGUAGCUGAAAAUCUGUCAAGUAGGUGGAACCUUCAUACAUUCAUGUGACCCCAUAGUAUGGUUUGCAUUUGUUGCAUACUGGAUAAUAUACUGCAUACUACUAUGGGGACCGAUUUACUGUAUAUACUGAGUGCAGCAUACAGUAUACAGUAUGUAACAGGUUGUUCUGAACGUAGCCUACUUUUUCAUCUACCUAAAUGUCUACAUUAGCCUAUGCAAAACAUCAUUGUUGUGUGUUGAUGAAGGAGUACUGUCAACACGUCUAUGUAAACAUCUGUCGUGUUGCCUCCAUGAUGUCUGCGUGUCAUGUACGUUUAGAUAUAACAAUGUAUUAUGGAACAGUAACUUUAUUAUAAAUAUUCAAAUGAAGUUUUAAUACUUGUUUUGUAUGGUAAAUUGAUUAUGGAAUAAAAUUUGUUACAUUUGC